AAACCUGGGGAGCUCGUGUGCGGGCUGAGAGGAAGUCAUCAACUUCGACCCUUUAACCUGAUUUGGGUAAUGCCAACGUAGGGAAAC
rnacentral:ncRNA from 1 species